CACGUAGGGCGCAAGCGUUGUCCGGAAUUAUUGGACGUAAAGAGCUCGUAGGCGGUCUGUUACGUCUGCUGUGAAAACCCUGGGCUUAACCCUGGGCUUGCAGUGGAUACGGGCAGACUAGAGGCAGGUAGGGGAGAAUGGAAUUCCCGGUGUAGCGGUGAAAUGCGCAGAUAUCGGGAGGAACACCCGGUGGCGAAGGCGGUCUCUG
rnacentral:rRNA from 1 species